GAGUGGGCAGCAAUGCGACGAGCACACCGGUGAGGAUGCAUCCAGGAUCUGCCCAGCCGACGGGUGAGGAAUGCAUCGGAAUCUGCCCCGACGUGGGGGAUAACGUAGGGAAACUUACGCUAAUACCGCAUACGUCCUACGGGGGAAAGCGGGGGAUCUUCGGACCUCGCGCGGCGGGAUGAGCCGAUGCCGGAUUAGCUAGUUGGUGGGGUAAAGGCCCACCAAGGCGACGAUCCGUAGCUGGUCUGAGAGGAUGAUCAGCCACACUGGGACUGAGACACGGCCCAGACUCCUACGGGAGGCAGCAGUGGGGAAUAUUGGACAAUGGGGGCAACCCUGAUCCAGCAAUGCCGCGUGUGUGAAGAAGGCCUUCGGGUUGUAAAGCACUUUUAUCGGGGACGAAAUCCGGAAAAUCCGGAAGGUUAAUACCCGUCCGGGAUGACGGUACCCCCCGAAGAAGCACCGGCUAAAUUUUUGCCAGCAGCCGCGGUAAUAAUAAGGGGGCAAGCGUUGUUUGGAAUUUUUGGGGGUAAAGGGUGCGUAGGCGGUUUGUUAAGUUAGAUGUGAAAACCCCGGGCUCAACAACGGAAGGGCCCCGGAGACUGCCGGACUGGAGUGCGGUAGAGGGGGGUCGAAAACUCGGUGGAGCGGUGAAAUGAGUAGAGAUCGGGAGGAACACCAGUGGGGAAGGCGGCCUUCUGGACCAGCAUUGACGCUGAGGCAUGAAAGCGUGGGGGGCAAACGGGAUUAGAUACCCUGGUAGUCCACGCCCUAAACGAUGAGAACAGGAGUGUUUCAACAAGCCCUCAGUGUCGAAGCUAACGCGUAAGUAUCCGC
rnacentral:rRNA from 1 species